rnacentral:rRNA from 1 species
UGGGGAAUAUUGGGCAAUGGGCGAAAGCCUGACCCAGCAACGCCGCGUGAGGGAAGAAGGGUUUCGGCUCGUAAACCUCUGUCCUAUGGGACGAAGGAAGUGACGGUACCAUAGGAGGAAGCCCCGGCUAACUACGUGCCAGCAGCCGCGGUAAUACGUAGGGGGCGAGCGUUGUCCGGAAUGAUUGGGCGUAAAGGGCGCGUAGGCGGCCCGGUAAGUCUGGAGUGAAAGUCCUGCUUUCAAGGUGGGAAUUGCUUUGGAUACUGUCGGGCUGGAGUGCAGGAGAGGGAAGCGGAAUUACCGGUGUAGCGGUGAAAUGCGUAGAGAUCGGUAGGAACACCAGUGGCGAAGGCGGCUUUCUGGACUGAAACUGACGCUGAGGCGCGAAAGCGUGGGGAGCAAACAGGAUUAGAUACC